rnacentral:misc_RNA from 1 species
CCAGAGAGCUUAACCUUUCCCCCAGGAAGGCCUCCUUGUCCAUUUAUACGAACAGGUGGACAAUUUGUAGGAGAACAUUCAACAUCUGCACCAAGCUGCUUAAGACCAGCAACCAAAUCUCCAAUUGGUCUCUCUCGCAUUCGUGGAACCCCAUCAAGUAUGUAGCUUGAAUUUCCACCUGCUGCAGUAACAGCAGCUGUCAAUGGACGCAUUGCUGUUCCUGCAUUUCCGAGGAAAAGUUCAACAUCAUUCUUUGAUCCUUUACCCACUGGAAAAUGACUGCCACAACCUUCUACAAUGGCUCGUUUGAGCUCAUUAUUGUCUUCCACAUGCAAGCCAAGCGUUCUCAGUGCACCAAGCAUGUACCGAACAUCAUCACUAUUCAGCAAGUUGUCAACAACAGUUGUACCCUCAGAAAGAGCAGCGAGAAGGAGAAUCCGAUUAGACAGAGACUUGGAACCCGGCAACGUGACGGUACCGGAAAUUUCUUUAAUGGGUUGCAAGACUAUCUCNUUGAAGGCUUCUCGGAUGUGGCGACUGAAGCUGAAACUCUAACAGGGCUCCUCUUAACUUGAUCAACUGUACAAUCAGGCUUUCUUUGGCAGUGCUUCAAACCCCUAGAAACUGAAGACCCCUUAAACUGUGAUCUAAAUGAAAUUGAAGAUAGAUAUUUCGGUGUUUGUAGUUUAGAGAGAUUUGGGAAAGUGCAAUUAUGUUGAACCCCAUUGCAGAUUUUGCUCACUUGCGCCAUUUCUCUGCGUGUACAAAAAUUCUUCCUCCCUCUCUCUGUCUGCCUUCGCUUUGAAGAAGUUCUUUGAAGAAGAUGAUUUGUGGGUUACGUGCAACAGGAUUUGUGCAGUUAUACUUAACCAAAAGGGUAUUCACCUACCAGUUGCUCUUUUGGGGUUUAUAUUUUUGGA